UGGUGAUGCAAAACAGCGUUUACAAUAUUGGCGCAUCUGUUUCUAUGAACGAACGAGAUGAAAUGCCAUCAAUAUGCAAGUUCUCUUGAUAUACCGUCCGGGAAGAGUGCUGAAUUGGUCAAGGAUGCGUAUAAUAUUGGAGAUUGAGCAAAAAGCACAGAAUCCGCUGGAUGUGUUUAACAGCAAUUGUUGCUGUCUGUUGUUAUCAGCGAGCCGAAAUAAGUAUGUUAGAUAGCCUAAGAUUGGAUAAUUCUGGUCAGAUUUCCCGGGAAACCGUUAUCAUCCCUGAUUCUCGAUUGUACCAUGUGCGAAGGUGCGGUCUGCGAAUAUGUGACCCCUGGGAGAAUUUUUCAUAUUUAGCGUUAGUGUAUACAUAAAUCAUUCUUUAGAAGAAUUGUUGAAAAUUUUUCUGUUUUCUUUAUCUAAUUCUUUUCGGCUGUAUUCUUAUUUCAAUGAUUUUUUUAUGUUUGUAAAUAUUGUUUGCUGGUUUGUGGUAUUACUCCAACGAAAAAUAAAUAUAUACAUCCAUUUUUUAGA